UCCACCUAUUGCCUCCUGAUCGCGGCCACGGC
rnacentral:piRNA from 1 species